AUAAUUAGCUGGAAAGGGAGCUAUCUUGAUCAUAAAGGUGAAUUUUUUAGAGUGAGACCUGUUCAUUACACUCCAGAACUGUUUAUCCUACCAUGUUCCCAAAUGUGGGAAACUCAACUUUGUAAUUUGUGGUAGUGGGAGGCUACUUUCAUGUCCCCCCUUU